GUGGGGAAUCUUAGACAAUGGGGGAAACCCUGAUCUAGCCAUGCCGCGUGAGCGAUGAAGGCCUUAGGGUUGUAAAGCUCUUUCAGCUGGGAAGAUAAUGACGGUACCAGCAGAAGAAGCCCCGGCUAACUCCGUGCCAGCAGCCGCGGUAAUACGGAGGGGGCUAGCGUUGUUCGGAAUUACUGGGCGUAAAGCGCACGUAGGCGGAUCAGAAAGUCAGAGGUGAAAUCCCAGGGCUCAACCUUGGAACUGCCUUUGAAACUCCUGGUCUUGAGGUCGAGAGCGGUGAGUGGAAUUCCGAGUGUAGAGGUGAACUUCGUAGAUAUUCGGAGGAACACCAGUGGCGAAGGCGGCUCACUGGCUCGAUACUGACGCUGAGGUGCGAAAGCGUGGGGAGCAAACAGGAUUAGAAACCCGGGUAGUCC
rnacentral:rRNA from 1 species